AUGAUCCUGUGGCUAAACCUGGUGUCCUUAGUAGUAGUCCUCAGAGGUGUCCAGUCUGAGGUCCAGUUGGUGGAGUCUGGAGGGGACGUGAGAAGGCCUGGAGAGUCCCUCCGCCUCUCCUGCCAAGCCUCUGGCUUCGACUUCAGCAGCCAUUGGAUGAGUUGGGUGAGACAGGCUCCAGGAAAAGGACUCGAAUGGGUGGCACUCAUAUGGCCAAAUUCUGGUACUCACUACUCUGCCAAAGUCAAGGGACGCUUCACCAUCUCCAGGGACAACUCCAAAAGCCAAGUCUAUCUGCAAAUGAACAGUCUGAAGCCGGAGGACACAGCAGUCUAUUACUGUGCAGGAGACACAGUGAGAGGAAGUGAGUCUGAAGCCUGGCAAGAACCUUCCCUUGGUCAGAGCUACUAUGCAAGCUCUGGGUUCAACUUCGGGGGUUAUUGGAUGAGCUGGGUGAGACAGGCCCAUGGAAAGGGGCUGGAGUUGGUGGCACGGAUAAGCUCUGGUUCUGGUUCCAGUACUUACUACUCGGACAAAGUGAAGGGACGGUUCACCAUCUCCAGGGACAACUCCAAAAGCCAAGUCUACCUGCAAAUGAACAGGCUGAAGCCGGAGGACUCGGCAGUCUAUUACUGUGCG